UUAGAUUUUCAAGAGCUAAAAUUUCAUAGAAAAGAAUACAACUGAAAAACUUCUGCAGAAACACUGUUCCAUUAGAAAAUUCCUGAAAUUUUGAGAUCUGCACUAUGAAAAAAAACUUGAAUAGCUAAAGGUUAAAAUGUUUGAGUUUUGAUUGGUAUUCAUGUGCUUGGGGUCAAAUUUUGGUUGUGUUUUGAUUCUGAACUUUAUGUGAUGGGUUCAAAUCUGAUUUAAAGUGGUUAUUUCCCUUAUCAUUUCUGGGCUGAUUCUGCUGUUGAAUAUUGAUCCUGUUGCUUUUCUAUUGCUGACUCUUCAUUUUUCUGUGUUGUUUUUCAAAUUUAGGUGCACGUCUCCUGAAACUUAUACGUGUU
rnacentral:lncRNA from 1 species